UACGGAGGGUGCAAGCGUUAUCCGGAUUCACUGGGUUUAAAGGGUGCGUAGGUGGAUCUGUAAGUCAGUGGUGAAAUCUCCAAGCUUAACUUGGAAACUGCCGUUGAUACUAUAGAUCUUGAAUGCUGUGGAGGUGAGCGGGAAUAUGUCAUGUAGCGGUGAAAUGACUUAGUAUAUGACAUAGAACACCAAUUGCGAAAGGCAGCUCACUACCCAGACUAUU
rnacentral:rRNA from 1 species